GUGUACUGGUCUUUAGUUUUAGGUUGGUUUGCUAUUUGAAUCUGAGACCUUGUCGGAUUUGGACUGCUUUGAGAGGUUGUCGGGUUUGCUCAUCACUUUCUCUCCUUGCUUGGGAUAUUUCUUCAGCUUCGAAUCUGUUUUCUGGUGCGCGGUAUGCAGGUCUAAACCGCCUAUAAUGUGGGUGGCUACUUCUUCCAUCAGAUUUGGUGAAAUAUUCUUCAUAAGGUUUCGGUGAUGUAGUGUUUUCGAAGGCCUUCUCUUUGUCCCUUGACGUCCUUGUCUACGAUUAUCUUAGCUUUGGCUUGUGUUCUAACGUUUGAUUGUUAACAAGAUUUCUUUGACUUUCUGGAGUGUGGUGGUCUUAAGCAUUGAUGGCUAGUGUCUUCAUAGUGCCUUCGGUUAGGAUCCCCUUGCCUUCAUCUAUGGUAUUGACAUCUAUCCUCUGUGGCGUCAUGUUGCUUACCGGGAUUCGUAUGCGGUAAGGCCUUGCUCGACCUGUGGUUUAUUGGAGUAUUGUCUUUGUGAAGCAAUGAUGCUGUGAAGUUGUGAUGUUCCUUGGUUUUUAACUGACGGGUUCUCCGGAUUUCUUGGUAAGGAAUUGGG
rnacentral:lncRNA from 1 species